rnacentral:tRNA from 1 species
AGAGAGGUGGCCGAGCGGUUUAAGGCGCACGCCUGGAAAGCGUGUUGGGUUCACGCCCUCGAGGGUUCGAAUCCCUUCCUCUCUG